UUUGACAUAAGCUGGACCGUUCAAAAUCAUUAAAACUAAAUCAAACUUUUGAAAGUCCUAACGAUCAUCAAAUCAUAUGAAAUUUUGUAGAGGUGAUCUACUCAUAUAGACCUAAGAUAUGAACGGUGAAGAUGUAAAAAUUCAAUUGGGAAGUGGUGUAAUGCCCUAUCCCUAGAAAGUGGCCAAAAAUAGGGAUCUCUCAAUAGAAGGGGGCUGCAUACUUAUAAUAGGUUUCCUUAUGAUCUAAGGUUUUAUACUUAUAACUGUCUAUAUAAAGAGGUCUCGCUCGACUAUCAAAUAUCAAUUAAAGCAUUCUUCCGACUCUCAGACUAAGAGAGAAGCCACCAUGCAUGUCUCUCGAAAUACCACUUAUCUCCGGUGCCGACUCUCAAACUAACAGAGAAGCCGGCAUGUCUCUCUCGAAAUACCACUUAUCUCCAGCGCCGACUCUCAAACUAACAGAGAAACCGGCAUGUCUCUCGAAAUACCACUUAUCUCCGGCGCCGACUCUCAAACUAACAGAGAAGCCGGCAUGCCUCUCAAUAUACCACUUAUCUCUGUUGAGGACCCAAAGCCCCAAUCGGGAAAUAUGGAAGUAGAAGAGCCAGAUCCGGAGUACGAGUCAGAUGGAUCAGAUGAAGAUAUGAUACCACCUUGUGAAUGUUGUCUGAAGGAGAAUCCGGAUCACUUUUCAAAUGGUUGCCCGUACCUGGAGCGUGUCCCAAAUCCAAAGGACACAGCUGUUGGCAAGGCCUUUAUGAUAGUUUGCAUCCACUGCUUUCUAGAGAAUCAUGGCCACCCUGAUGGAGCCUGGCAAGGAUGUGCAAUGCUAGAUCCGAGGUUCUUUUUUGAUAAAGAGCCGCCUGCAGAUGACGAGCCUCCCCUUAAAGAUGAGAGUGAAUACUUUGCUUGGCUUAAGGUGGGUGUUUCUCGUUUCUCUCGUGUCUAAACUAGUGUUUGAUUGGAUGGACAAAAGCUGAGAGCGGCUUUUGAAUAAGAGCUCUCUACAUGUGUUGUACAUCUGAUCUGUUGACUUCUUAACUUUUUACUUUUGUACUUAAUUCACUUAGAGCAAGUCCACCCCCAUGGUAAAAAGCCUGACCCAGGCCUUCCUCCACCUCAAAGGAAGACCCAGCAAAAAAAAGCCAAGUCCACCCAUAAAUUUUCUUUAACCCAGGCCUUCACUGGGUCUUUACCUGGGUCAGACCUGUGACCCAGGCCUCCAUUUCUGAAGACCCGGGCCUUCGUCUCCAGCUCAGCCCAAAAGCCGAUGUCAGCCAUGUGAAGCACGACGUCAGCCAUGUGCAGCUCGCGCAAGUGGAGCGGAAGAAGCGAAUUGGCGAGCGCGUGGCGCGGACGAGCGACCUGGCGAGCGCGUGGAGCGGGACGAAGCGAGAAGGCGGGAGCUGAGGACGACGCCAGGGCCACGCGUCAGCAGCUGGGGUUGGUUUCCAAUUCAAAUCCAACGGUCAUUUAAUCUGGACCGUUGGUUGUAUUAAAAAAGCAGAUCAACAGCAUUCAAUUAUACAACAAAAAUUACCGUUGGAAAAAAUUACCGUUGUGUUUCCAACGGUUUAAAAUGUUUGUUUUUUUUUUUAAAUCCCAACGGUAAGAAAAAAAUUAAAAAAAAUUAUACAAUUCUCUAUAAAUACAUAUCACCCUCCUAUACCUUUUCAUACCACACAAAAAAUUGUGAUCCAUAGUUCUAUAGCUAUUUUCUUUCAUUCUCCUAUAGUUUCAUCUUUUUUAUUGUUUCGAUUCAUGGCCGGUGGAUCUGCUUCCGAUAGAAAACUUUGGGAAGCCGAUGAAGACCUCCAAUUGUGCAAGUCAUGGAGAUUUGUUAGCCACGAUGCGGAAAAGGGCACCGAUCAAAAGAAAGCUCAAUUUUGGGAUAAUGUUCUCAAGCACUACUUCGACAAUUUUCCGGAUGCUUACCCUCGAACAACAAAUGCAAUGAUAGGGAGGUGGAAAUCUCUAAAAAUAGAAUUGUUUCAAUGGCAUUGUGCGAUAAGGCAAGCUAAAAAUUGGGUAAAAAACGGUUCAUGUCUUGUUGAUGAGGUAUGAAUAUUAAACUUUUUUUAAUGUAUGUUUCUGUAAAUAUUUAUUUAUCGAUAAAUUAUCUUGUAUGUCAUACAUCUUAUUAAUUGUAGUUUUAUUUAUUAUUUUGUAGUACAAAAGAACACAAAAUAUAUGGAAGCAAGAGAUGACAAGGAUCAAAGGAAAGAAACAAAAGAGCGAGUUCAAAGCGCAAGAUUGCUACGCGGUCGUGGAAGGUUUUCAAAUGUUUCAAGACAUUCCUAGCAACAUGGAGAUGCAUGAGUCACCAUUAACGGGAGCCGAUUGUGAAAGGAUGGCUUCACAAUCAACUCAAAAUGAAGAAGUUGAUGAACCUUCUAUCAACUUGGCCCAAACUAGUGAUGAGGUACCCCGAAUCCAAAUGUGAGGCCUAUUGGAAGGAAGGCAACAAAAGAAGCUGCCCGGAAAGGAAAGAAGGCGGCCAAAGACGCGUGUCCCAUGACAUCCGCUGUUGUCACGAUUGCAACCAACCAAUCAUCAAUAUUGCAAUCGAGGGAGAAACGCGACGAGGCAUACGCAAAACAAUUGCAAGAGCAACAACAACGAGAAUAUCUGCGAUUGCAAAUGGAUCUUCGAAAUGAGCACUUCAAACUCCAAGAGAGGGAAGAUCGUAUCAAAGAGAGAGAAGAAAAGAUUAAGGAGGUAAAUCCAAGUACUAUGUCACCGGGGCCUAGAAAAGAUUAUUGGCGGUUAAGACAAAAAGAAAUAGCGGAAAGGCAAGAAAAUACAACUAGUGGAUAUCCCCACACAUCCUUCCCCAGCGGAUAUCCCCAAACACCUUUUCCUGGUGGAUUUCCUCAAACACCUUUCCCCGGUGGAUAUCCACAACCACCUUUCCCCGGUUAUUACUUUCCUCAACCACCUUCGACCGGUGACUCGACCAACCCGACCAAUCUCAAUGACCCUUCAAACACCGAUUUCUUUUGUAAUGAGGAUGUCGAUAAUUAGACUUAGAAAUUUAAAUUAUUGUAUUUUUCUUUUCUUUUUUCCUAGGCUUGUCUUGUCAAUUUAAGUCAUGUAAUAAAUAAAAUUAAUUUUAAUUUCAUUUUUUAAAAAUUUAUCUAUCAUCUUUUUUAUAAUUUCAAUACGUUAUUCAUAAUUUUAAUAACACAUAAAAUCAUUAUUCACAUUCAAAAUACAUAAUAUAAAAUUCAAUAAACAGUCAUUGCCACGUGGCAACCCAGAAACAUAAAUCGUGGAUGAAAACUGCAGCCUAAAAUCACUGCCACGUGACGACCCAGGUCUCGCCCAUGACCCAGGCCUUCCCAACGAAGACCCAGGGGGUGGACUUGCUCUUAUGGUUGCUGCUUACACUGUCCAGGUUUAUGUGCUUCUUUUAUGUUUGGAUUUUCACUUGGGUUUGCCAAGCAUUUUUCUGAAGUUGUAUUUGCACUUUGUUUUGUGGUCUUUUCAGUCUUAGACCUUUAGUGCUCAUGAAGAAGGGCCGCCGAUUCUUAUUAUAGUGUCUAGAAUAAGUCCAGAUGCCCAAUGAAAGCAAACUAUCAACAAAUCAAUCGGGAAUAUAUAUUAGGCAUGGGACAUUGUGAUUACUAAAGCACCCCUUUGUUAUGCUAAUUUAUGACACAAUUACUUAUUUAGAAUAAAAUUGCGUAGUGGGGUGGGAUAUGAGAGCAAGUCCACCCUCUAGGUCUUCGUUUGGGAAGGCCUGGGUCAUGGGCGAGACUUGGGUCGCCACGUGGCAGUGAUUUUGGGUUGCAGUUUCCACUCACGAUUUCUGUUUCUGGGUCACCACGUGGCAGUGACUGUUUAUUAAAUUUUAUAUUAGGUAUUUUGAAUGUGAAUAAUAAUUUUAUAUAUUAAUAAAUUUAUAAAUAACGUAUUGAAAUUAUACAAAAUAAUAAAUUAAUUUUGAUUCUAGGUCGCCACGUUGAAUUUGGAGUUUAUUGGAAUUAAUUAGAAUAAUUAGAACAUAAACAUAAUGUAAAUAAAAGUAUAUUCCAAACCUAGAAUAUUAUUUUUACCCAAUAGUUUUUUUUUAUUAGGUAAUUAUCAAUUAGUAUAUAAAACAUAAUUAGAUUUAGCUUGUAUAAAUAAAUGUUGUAUUAAUUAAAAACCAGAUUGAUUGUUUAAUUAAAAGCCAGAUUGAUUGUUUAAUUAAAACCCAGUUUUUGGCAAGUGGAGGUGGAGACAAGAACGUGCCCCUGACGCCCUUCACCCAUUCGUCCAUGCUCUGACGCGCGCAUGCUCCACUCACCUUUGUCUAUUCGUCCAUGUGGCCCACAUUUUGGGCUGAUGUGGCAUGGAAGGCCCGGGCCUUCAUUUUCUUUUGUUUGGGUCAUGGGUCUGACUCAGGUCUUAACCUAAUGAAGGCUGGGUCAUAAUAUUUUUCAUGGGUGAACUUGCUUUUUUUUUUUUGAGUCUUCUUUUGACGUGGAGGAAGGCCUGGGUCAGGCUUUUCCACUUGGGGUGGACUUGCUCUAAGAGUUGUUGCGUUUACUACUUUACUUGCACAUGAUGUGUACGUGGCUUUUAAUCAGAAGUCGAUCCCAUUCCUUAAUAACCCAUUUAAUUAGGAAUCAAAGCCUCCAUAAUCAUAUGGUAAGUAAACGACAUUGAUCGUAAUUAGUUCUAUUAUGAUUCUGAUUCCAUACAGUAAUGAAACAACUCGAUAGAAAUGGAUAUUAAAAAUUGGUUCCACUCUCAUACUGUGCAACUGGAAGUUGUCAAUGGCUGUGAUGUGAAGCUUCUUAACACCUGUUUGACAAACAGACUAUUUUCAGAAACAGAGUUUAUCAGACUUCUUAGGGUAAGCAAAGUAGGAAACCAAAUCUGAUAAUAACAAGCUCCUACUUGUAUUAGUAAUGAGCUUCCAAAUCUACAAACAUGGUGUUCCUUUGUUCACAACAGUCAAGGGCCUAAAUAUAAAUAUACCAGUUAUGUCAUCUAUGACAAGAGACACGUGUUAAAGGUAGUGUAAAUAUAACAAAAAAGGGUAUCCAGAUGAGUUUCCCAGCUUCUAGAAAUGCAGCAAUAUAGUAUGAUCUUAAGCAUUGUAAGAAUCUUUGUUACAGUCGAAAUAUUGAUUGAUAAGUCAGAUGAUUGCUGGUACUCUUCCGAAUAAUCAACAAACAAAAACUAGUACAUAUGUCCAGAAAAUGAAGAAAACCAUAAAACAGUAACAUAUCCAAAAUUCAAACCCAUUUUUUACUGAAUGCUUAGAGCUAAGGGUGUUGAUGCUACCUUGUACUUGGAGGCCCCGUGCACUUGAUGUUCAUUUUUCACAGGCAAACCCCUAGAACCAAAGAUGCAAGAAAGAGCUAUCAGUGUCUUCACUUUUGACGGCUAGUCCUCUCAUCUCCUCUAAACCAUACAGCGCCAGUUCCCACUAGGCAUUUCUACACACAAUUACAGAAUCCAUAUGUGAUUAGGAAUUUUACAGAUCUGAAAAUACAGCUUCUUUUUUACAAUUUAUACUGAAAUACAGCUUAACAGAAAAUCUAUACUGAAAAGACAUUGGAAUAGAGCUGAUGUGAAUAUAAAUUUGAACCUCGAAUGAACUGAUAAUAGAAACUCUUUUUUGCAUAUUGAUGAACAUAAAUACAAGGAUCCGGCUCCUUUAAAGUGAGUGAGCAGUGAAGUUAGUAAAUUUUUCAUAAAAUCUAGACUCUUUAUCUCAUCUAAAUUUAUCAAAACUCCGGCUCUCUUCACCAUAAUAACAAUAAUAAUACAAUUAUUCAAAACUAUGAGAGCAACUCAGUUUCUCUAACUCCACGUUUUAUAAUCAAUCAACCAAAACAAAUCAAUGAACCCAAAGCAUGGAAACAUUUGUCCAGACAUGCCUUAUAAUUCAGUUAUCGAACCAAAGGAGCAAAACCUAAUCAAUAUUAAUCUCAGCCACUUCCGUUUGAUUACUAUAUGCUCACUUGUAAAUUUCUACCUUAAUUGCAACCAAGUGCAGGUCACCACUUUUCUACUAUACCAUUUAAGAGUCAUGCACAGAUGACAUUCGAUUUCCAUAUAUUGGCACAAUAUAACUUUAAAAGUUUACAAAGAAGAACCAACUCACCUUGUUAUCAAGUAGAGCUCAAGGCAUCAUUCAAUUCCAGUAGAAAACACCAUUGUCGACAACCCAGCUACUGGAAUUUUCCUCCCAUGUUCUCACUUCCACCUAAGUCUAGCAAAUUCAGAAUUUCAACUCCCAUAAACAUCAGCACUCUUCAAAAGGAGAGGAGAUGGUCUAAGAACAGCCAGAACAGCCAUCGACGUCCACACGGUGAUACGCCGUACAACCCAGAAACACAACUCAGUCCAAUAUCGAUCGAAUUCAAAAACUAAUUAUACCACAAUUCAACCCAAUUAGGGGCAGAAGUCGCGGCAAGUUCGUCAGAGGACUCGACGCUUUGAGUCGUGGAUUCGUCUUCCUCCGUUGACGCUUAAGCGUGCCUCCACCAUAGCCGUGACGGAGGAGGAAAGAGGACUCUAUCGAGGCCGGUCCGCCGUGGCGUUGCCUUCCCAUGUCGGUGGUCUCUGCCGUGGUCGAGACUAAUCUCAUACAUAUUGGUUUGAUCCAUUGACCUAUUUAUAGGUUAGCUCCAACUUAAAUUCCAAUGAUUGAGAUUCAACGGUGAUGAAUUUAGAUGGCUCAGAUCGCAACACCUGAAAUUCCUAAUUCCCCUAAACAAUUUCCUAAACUUAAAAUCUUUUUAAAAUUGUAGGAAUUGCUCGGGACUCUGAAAAGUUGUCCGAAAAUUCCUACUUUAAUAUUGCACUCUAAUAUCACGGGUUUUCGCCUUGUCAAAUUUUCUGAUAUUAUUCCUUGAAUACAUUUUAUAUCCAUCGAGACCGAAAAGUAACUUGAUGAACGAUCUCAAUUUAAGGCAACUGAUGAGUCAAGUAGUGCUAUUUCAUCUAAUAGCAGUUGUGUAAUUCCCCCACGAUCAGCUAGUGACCGGGUAACAUGAUUGUAGAUUUGUAGUGAGAUAUAACAAUUUCCAUACCCAUUAAUCCUAAUAAGAGAUUAAUAAAUCAAAGGAGAGAAGCAAAUUAAAGAGUGUACACAAAUAAUGAAGGGAGACGUUUGUUGUGUACGCAGUACAUCAUGUACUGCUCUUGUUUUUGGACGACGUCACCCAAGAUUGACGCGGUGAAAUUAUGACUUUUUACUUUUGAUAUGAAGCACGCGCUUGGCGCAUCUCGUGUAAUCUACAUCCCACCGAAUACACCAUCGAAGGAUAUAAAAAAAAAUUGCCGAGUUUUUUUUUGGUCUGAUGGUUUGAGAGAGAGUUAUGGUUUGGAUUUAGGGUUCUCUCUGCUCUUCUACGGAGAGAAGCUACUGCCUUUCCGCCAAUUUUUGCAUUUUUCGGCACCGUUUUGGGUUGAUUGAGGCAUGGUUUUCAUCUACUCUUCGAGCUCUACCCAAAAACAAGAGAAAGUUUGAUAAAUGACCAUCUUUUGGUUUCCAAGUUGAUUUAUAACCUUGUUUUCUCAUUUAGUUGAAAAAUAACUUUUUAACAGGAUAAAAAUACAUUAGGAUCCUUACUAAACUAUUUACCUCUUGCAAUUCUUUUCUCUCUUUCUUUAUUUUUCUACAAACAACAACCCAACUUCUUUUAUGAUUUAAAACUUAAGCUCUCUUAUUGAUCUGGAACAUUAUCGAAAACCUUCUUGUUCAAGGUAAGUACAUCCCUAAUCUCUUUGAUUUUCUUUUCUAGAAUUGAAUUAUAAUUUACUAGUCAAAUAAAAGUAUAAUCAUAGGAUUUUGAUUUUCUUUUUUGAAGGUUUAGGGUUCUGCAAGAUUGAAAUUGAAUAUUACUUUAAUUUAUUUGCAAGUAUGAUCGUAGCACAGUGCAAGUAUGAUUGGUUGCUUCUUUUGUUUGUUGAAGCCAAUUAAGGGGUGAAUCACAUAUACUUGCUUCUUCAUUAUGUAAAUAUUAAAUGGAAAGGAUUGUCAAGGAUUGAACACAAGGUCUGAAUUCUGCAACAUGUUGUAUACAAACAGAAUAUUAUAAUCUUAUAUGUGGACAUUAGUUUGAUACUUUGAUUUUUUAUCAAUUUUCACUCAGUACUAAAAGAUGAGUUUUCAUAUCCUCUAGCUCUAAUAAUGUAGGAAAAAUAUUGAAGAUGGAAGAGUCGUUUUUCAACACCAACAAAAAUGAAGUUCUGGAUUUGUCCAUGACCUUUGAUUCCCACGUUUGACAACAUGUUUUCAAUUUUUUUAAAAGAUAUAUAGGCAGAUAAUAUGAGAGUUUAGUAAGGGUCUUAAUGACUUUUUGUCCUGCUAAAAGGUUAUUUUUUAACAAAAUGAGAAAANNNNNNNNNNNNNNNNNNNNNNNNNNNNNNNNNNNNNNNNNNNNNNNNNNNNNNNNNNNNNNNNNNNNNNNNNNNNNNNNNNNNNNNNNNNNNNNNNNNNNNNNNNNCAUUAAAAGCAUCGUUUGUGACCUCUAUCGAGUCUCAUAACAGCUUGGUUUUGUAUGCAAGAGCAAUGUAACAUUCUGCUCCUUUGAGUUUUGACGUACUAGAUGCCUAAGGCGGAUCUUUGCUUGGUAUCUGUGGAACCUUUCAUUGGAAAGGAUUAAACCACAUGUUUUGACCCCCAGGCUAACAAGCCUAGAUGCCGAGAUGCCACAUCGACAAAAGCCUUCAAUGGCAAUCUGUGCAAAAAGUAAUGACCACAAAGUACUGUGAAAUGCAUUCAUGGAGCGUUUCUCGAAACGUUCAUAUAACUCUCCUUGUUGAGUUAUUAGACAAGUGGAUUGCUUACCACCUUAAUUGACUACAUAUUGUCGAUGAUCUUUUGUGGCAUCAUGAUUCAUAAUCUUUAGCGGAUUCGAUCAUCAUCAAGUUCUCUAGGUCCUCUAAGUUGGUGUGGAAUUACCAACGAGACUUGAUUUUGAUCAUACAAACAGGAAUUGUAUAUACGCUAAUGUGAUAAACUUAUUUGGGAUUAUCCCCUAAUAUGGGGACAACAAUAUGGGUCAUGGCAACGGCAGAAAACGUCGUGCCGAUGUCUAGAAAAGAGGGGGAGAUGUCGCCGGCUCUAAUAGCGACAUUACCGGUCUAGACACCAUUUUGUCAAAACUACUCACGUCAGCUCAUGACAAUGCAACCAUUGUGGAUCUUCGGAUCACUGGUUCAAGAUUGUCUAGCUCCUUCAAAUGGUGAAUGCAUACAAAAAGGUACGGAAAAUCAAUAUGAGGACAAGAACGUCAUCCUCAUGAUCGUGAAUUUCGAAGAUUCGGAUCCUGCUCUAGCUACCCCUGACUUUGACGUCAUCGGUUAGACAUUGAUUUUCGUUCCAAGUUAUAUGUACUAAGGUGUUGUAUCGACGUCCUUCGUCUAUUUGAGACCUCGAUGUACUCACAUUAGCAAUAAUGAAUGCCUUGAGAAUUUUUUCGAAAUUAUGAAACUAUUCUCCUCUUAUGGUUCAUAUUGAUUUACAAUCAAGAUGUACACUUACAUCGUCCUUAGAAACAUGGCAUAUUGUGCCCAUUUUGGUCCCUUCCUUUGAAGGUGACUCAUGGCACUACAUCCUCAAGGAGGAUCGCCCACGUGUUUCCGGUUAAGUCUUCUACCCUAUAGCGGAUUUUUUAUCAUCAAUUGUUCAACUAGGCUCAUCCAAGCUCAGUGUGAUGUCUUAGAAUUGUCCAAAAUUAAGGAGAUAGUGGUUUUAAGUGUGCCUCGCACUACCGACCCUCCACGGACAUGCCUGGUCAUACUGACUUGGAGUUACCGAAAGCUUUUGAUUUUGGAUCCCCCUACGCUAUUAAACCAAUUGCCGUCUUGCAAAAGACGUUGAAGACUUAUCAAAGCUGGAAAAUUAUCAUCAUAAUCGGAUUCUCUAGAUCCUCUGAGUUAGUUUAUUUUCAUGUCAGGGAGCUUUUGCUAACUAGUCAUGGAGUUUACGACCUUAGAACGAUCGAAAGAACUUGGUUUUGAUCAUACACACGUCACUUUUGGCUAAGGCAAAAGCCUACACGCCACCUGCAAGCUUCACAGCUUCGCACAUGCCAAAUCUGCGAAAAACAGCAAUCUGUCCCUUCUGGACAGUCAACUUCGUUUGAGCUUUGUGAACAGCUCCGGACGAACCAGAAAGUGAGCUUUAUAUCAUUGGAAAGAUCUAUGAGUCUAGUUUUCAGACCUUUUUACGGUUCGUCCAUAUCUAUUUUAACGAAGAAGUUAUGGCUGUUUUAGUGCGCAAAGGUCAUUCUGCGCGGAAAUUUUUAUGCACUCUCGGGAUUGCAGCUUUUCGUAGCUUCUUUCAAUCCUUCUAAAUGGUUCAAAUAGAACUAUUUACUCGCCUAUCUACUCUUUGUAGUUAUGUCUCAUAGAGACAUUGAGUGCUUCGCAGAUAGUGGAACUAUCCACAACAUUCUAAGGAACCAUGUUAUUGAGCUUUAAAGACAUUCAUGCUAAUGGUUUUCAUUUGAAAACACAUUGUGAGAAUGAACAAGAAUUCUUUUGUGUAUACCUCCUCAUGAAUGCGAAUUGAAACGCAUCUUGGAGAAAUUCAUGAGUCAAUCUAGUGAACUGUAUGUCACUACGAUUCGAAUAUCGAAUCUCAUGUUGUCGCCAAACAUGAUAUUUGAGACACCGACUCACAUAGGCUUUGGUUUGACCAAAUUGGUCAACCUGGAAGAGAUAUAAUGGUCCAAAUUUUGAGAAAUUCUCAUGGACAUCCAUUCUUCCGCUCAAAAUGAAGACAUUCGAGAUCUAGCAUCACCAUGAAGCGUGGUGGUGACCCGGGGGACAUUGACGUCACCCGAACACGACUCCAACUUCCUAGAGGUCGUCCGGUCAAUUCCUCAAGCAAUUGAGGUGCACCGGCCUUUCCUCGAUGUCGUAUUGGCCCCCUGCAAUGCUCAUUGCUCGUUUUGAAAGCCUAUUCUUUAGCUAAAUAAGGAGUGAGACCCUCCUACGCUAAAUAACACAAAAGUGAACAUUCUAUUCUUACAUCAAACUAUGUAGAUAGAUACAACCAACUUGCGGACACCUUUUUAUGCUUUAUGGUGUUGGUUGACGUCUUAACACACUGGUCACGUGUUACACUAUUAUCUACUGCUUAUACUGCUUAUACUUCUACGGGCUCACUACCCAUUCUUUAAAGAAGUUCAUCAGGAUGUAAGUUGAAGUGUCCUGUACCCCAUGUUCACACGCAAUACGGUCUCACCCAGGCUACGACCAAGCAACUUUAGCUUGUCGCUCGAACAUUAUUGAUGCGCACCACUCUUUCUAUUGCGUCUUGGGGCUAUGCAAUAUUUGCAUGCAGCUUUACUAUUCAUCUACGAUCCACCAUCAUUGAAUUUUGUUGUACUNNNNNNNNNNNNNNNNNNNNNNNNNNNNNNNNNNNNNNNNNNNNNNNNNNNNNNNNNNNNNNNNNNNNNNNNNNNNNNNNNNNNNNNNNNNNNNNNNNNNNNNNNNNNNNNNNNNNNNNNNNNNNNNNNNNNNNNNNNNNNNNNNNNNNNNNNNNNNNNNNNNNNNNNNNNNNNNNNNNNNNNNNNNNNNNNNNNNNNNNNNNNNNNNNNNNNNNNNNNNNNNNNNNNNNNNNNNNNNNNNNNNNNNNNNNNNNNNNNNNNNNNNNNNNNNNNNNNNNNNNNNNNNNNNNNNNNNNNNNNNNNNNNNNNNNNNNNNNNNNNNNNNNNNNNNNNNNNNNNNNNNNNNNNNNNNNNNNNNNNNNNNNNNNNNNNNNNNNNNNNNNNNNNNNNNNNNNNNNNNNNNNNNNNNNNNNNNNNNNNNNNNNNNNNNNNNNNNNNNNNNNNNNNNNNNNNNNNNNNNNNNNNNNNNNNNNNNNNNNNNNNNNNNNNNNNNNNNNNNNNNNNNNNNNNNNNNNNNNNNNNNNNNNNNNNNNNNNNNNNNNNNNNNNNNNNNNNNNNNNNNNNNNNNNNNNNNNNNNNNNNNNNNNNNNNNNNNNNNNNNNNNNNNNNNNNNNNNNNNNNNNNNNNNNNNNNNNNNNNNNNNNNNNNNNNNNNNNNNNNNNNNNNNNNNNNNNNNNNNNNNNNNNNNNNNNNNNNNNNNNNNNNNNNNNNNNNNNNNNNNNNNNNNNNNNNNNNNNNNNNNNNNNNNNNNNNNNNNNNNNNNNNNNNNNNNNNNNNNNNNNNNNNNNNNNNNNNNNNNNNNNNNNNCAUCUUGAUCCCAAAUGCUUAUAGUGUUAAAGUGACGAGAUCACAUGCUGCAAAUAUGUCUGCAAGGAUUGAUGUCCUACAAAAGGACAUGGCGCGACCAAAAAGUGUUGGUCUUGAUGCCAUCACCAUGGAUGGUGAUAUGGUGACGCCAUAUAGUAGCAAAAUUGGUGUCACAAGGCCGUGUGGCUCCCUAAAAGGAGGGAGGCCCUUAGGUUCGAUAUUGUCUUGCACUAGAAAGAAAGCGAGCUUGGCACAACCUGAUCCAUUGAUAAGUGAUACUCAAAUCUGUCUCAUGAAGUCUGAAUUGUGAUUAUCGUUGGGGGACGCCUCAAUGUCAAAUCCAAUCCAUAUAGAGAUCUCUACAAGUAUUACACUAGUGUACAUGAGGACGUGAGAUAAUGAGUCUACUAUCGAACCACCCUUCGUUGAUGGAUAUCAACUUAGUUGAUUGGCCUAAUGGAAAGACACGAUCCAGCAUUAACAAAGAGAUAGGUCCUUGGGCAGGUGAUGCCGACACCGCAAGCUAAACCCUAUCAACUGUGCCUUUGUUAGAUAGCGUAGUGAGAGUAAGAGCUUAGACUCACCUUAUGGCGCAAGGUCUUUCACUAACACGCACUGGGAUCAACUACGAUGAGAUAUGCUCUCGUAAUGGAUGUCAUUGAACUCCACUACUUUAUCAGUUUGGUAAUUUCUGAAUAACUGAACAUGCAGCCUAUGAAUGUGGUCAUAAUAACAUCUCUAUGGGAUCAAAGAUAUACAUGAAGAUCUUAAACGGACUUCAUUCAUCCGAAUCAAGUGGCUCCAAACCACAGGAGCAUGCGUUUGCUAAAUGUAUUGAAACGCACAUGGACUCUACUUGAUUUGGAAGGGAUAUGGUGAAUUAUGCCUUUGCGUGUUCAUUCCGGAUUUACAUGGACUCUUGAUGGAUCAAGAGAUGCCAAUAUGUAUCAACAUCCGAAGAAAAAGAUCUUGGGAAGACAUGGUCUCGAUAAGGCACUCGAUGACUGUAUUGAUGAUGAUUUUCCAUCAAUCAGCUUAGGCGCUCUAUAACUAGUGAGGCCUACAUAUACUCCCAUGAUUAGUCAAGGUCUUUGCUCUAAAGAGAGAUCCGUUGUUUUGUCUUAAAAGCAAGAUGACAAAUAUGUGUUAAGAGAUAGAGUUCCCAUCUAAGUAUAAUAAGACGCAUCAAUGUACUCAACACAAUACGAAAGACUUGACAUCUCAUUCGCUAUGAAAAGUUGUAAAGCUAAGUGUAGCUAUGCGCCCACGCAACGCCAAUGUAANNNNNNNNNNNNNNNNNNNNNNNNNNNNNNNNNNNNNNNNNNNNNNNNNNNNNNNNNNNNNNNNNNNNNNNNNNNNNNNNNNNNNNNNNNNNNNNNNNNNNNNNNNNNNNNNNNNNNNNNNNNNNNNNNNNNNNNNNNNNNNNNNNNNNNNNNNNNNNNNNNNNNNNNNNNNNNNNNNNNNNNNNNNNNNNNNNNNNNNNNNNNNNNNNNNNNNNNNNNNNNNNNNNNNNNNNNNNNNNNNNNNNNNNNNNNNNNNNNNNNNNNNNNNNNNNNNNNNNNNNNNNNNNNNNNNNNNNNNNNNNNNNNNNNNNNNNNNNNNNNNNNNNNNNNNNNNNNNNNNNNNNNNNNNNNNNNNNNNNNNNNNNNNNNNNNNNNNNNNNNNNNNNNNNNNNNNNNNNNNNNNNNNNNNNNNNNNNNNNNNNNNNNNNNNNNNNNNNNNNNNNNNNNNNNNNNNNNNNNNNNNNNNNNNNNNNNNNNNNAGUCUAGUUUCCAAAACCGUUUACGGUUUAUUCAUAUGUAUUUCCUAGAGGAAGUUACGACUGUUCUAGUAAUUGAAGGUCAUGCUGCGCGGAAAUCUGAUUUCCUGCACGAACUUAUGUUUUGAGUUCACAAGAGACCUUCUUCUCAAGAAUCUAAAGUGUAAAAGAUCAUUUGAGGACAAUACGGCAUGAUUUAGUUAAUCAUUGCCCAAUGCCACAUUUGAAGACAAUGUUAAAAAGCAUUGACAUGCUAAGUUGUUGAAACUUCCGUGAUUAGUAAGAAUCAGGAAGAACCCUAUGAUUGAUGUAAAGAUCAGGGGGGGUGCGAACUUCAGGGGAGUCUAGCACAUACAUACAUGUCACUAUCAAAUGUGAAGGGUGCGUUGUACUCUUUUUCUCCUACGAUCAAGGUUCAGUUUUUCUCCCACAGGGUUUUUGUGACUUGACGAGGUUUUUGACGAGGCAACAGAUCAGCACCAUCGGUAUAUCAGCGCGCGGCACAAGGGGGAGUGUUCUAGGAUAUUCUCUAUGUGUGCCUUGGCCUUAUGCCAAUAGGAUAUGUAGUUAGACUAGAUCUAUGUAUUCAUAUCCUUACCAUAUUGGUAUUGUGUAAUUCCCUAUAUAAAGGGCUCCUAUCAAUGAAUAAGAUGAUGAUUCUCUUGCUAUCUUUUUGUCUCUACCAUUAAUCCUUCAUCAAAAAGAUAAUAAUAGAAUUGAGGAGAGAAUAGUGGGUAGUGGUUUUAUAACUGGAUAAGUUUGAUAAUUAACUGCAUUAUUUGAGAAUUGUAAGCACAGGUAAAAGACUAGUCAGUUAAGAAAGUUAAAAGAAUAAAAAAAGUAAAAUAUUUCAUUUUUAUUAUAAAAUUAAAAUGGUGAUCGCGUGACGGACACGCUUUUAACGCCAUAUAUAUAAAACCCCCAAAUUUAAGCUCUUCGUCCUAAACUAGAUCUGCCCAAAAUAUAUUUUUUCCCACUACGCAGAGAAGCCGGCAUGGGUACCAAAAUACCAGUUAUCUCCGAUGUGGAUCCGAGCCGCUCUCCAACGACAAAGAAGGGACGAUUGGGAGAUGUGGAAGAGCUGAUUUUUGUCGUAGGAUUUCAAUUUGCUUGGUUGUUGUUCCUGUAAUUUUUCAAUCAAUUUAGCAUUUGUGCUACUACAAACAGGUCUCUAUGAUUCAAAACCAAGGGAUGUUGUUCCAGACGUAAGGAAUUGUGGAGGUCCAGAUAAGCCAUCUAGGGAGCAGCUCAAGAAAAUCAAUGAAGUGGGUUUUCGAAAGUUCUUCGAAGGAAGUCUGCUCUUAAUCUCUAUGUUACUGUCUCUGAUAUCCUUAUAGAGCUUGUGUCUGAUGUUAAUGUGCUCUUUUUGAGUUGUUUAAAUUGUUUGUUUUGCUUUGGAUUGUUGGUUGAUUUGAAAAUAGUUUUUAAGAAAUAUACCAAGUUUAAAGUUUCAGUGGAUAAUAAGUAUGUUGCCAUAGUACAAUUCUCAUAAGUUUUCAGUCAUCGUUGCAAGUCUGUUUUCUUAGUGUGCGGUAUAUGCUACUAUAUAACGAAAUGUAAUAACUGUAAUGGAAUUAUAUUUUCUAUAGAUAAAUAGUUCAUAACUUUAAAAGCUUGGACUUGAAUAAGUUUUGUUGUAUCUUGAAUAGGUUUCUUGUGUUUUCUAAGUAGCUAGGUACACUGAAACCAGUGGCGGAUCUAGGAUCUGAACUGGGGGCGGGUUUCAAAUUUGGCCGAAGGCAAAAAAAAAAAAUUCAAAUACAACCAUGCAAAAUAUAGGAAUUCAAGUAGACGUUAAUAAGUCUUCAAAAAAAAGUAGACGUCAAUAAAAGAAAUUUCUAAAAAUCAAAGACAAAUUUGACAACUUAACAAAAUUUUCCCCAAAAGUUUGGAUUUUUUGAGAUUUAAGAAGGAGAAGAUAGAAAACUAGAAGAAAGAGCAAUUGAUGAACUGAGGAACUAAGGAACUGAAGAAUAAAGACGUAAUCAUGUAUAAAAAAAAAAGAGGAGAUGCACAACUAGUCGGGAAGUUAGAUAGGCUUGACUGAACAAAAAUACAUAUAUAAAAAAAAAAUAUAUAUAUAUAUAUAUACCUAGGAUUUUUUUUAACUCCAAAAAACUUGGUUAGGCUUGAGCCCUACCAACCCUUGCUUUGGCUCCGCCCUUGACCGGAACUGGAACUCAUUGCCAGAGUAUUUGUAUGUUUUACAACUUUAUACAUGUCUAAGUUUUGAUGUUCUUGUUCUAAUACACUUUCUAUUUAACAAUGGAAUCACAAACCACAAACAGAUGAGAUUGAUGAUGAGGACUCAGGGGAAGAAAUAAAACCUUGUGAAAUUGGUAUGAAGAAGGAGGAGGACUUGCCAAAUGAUUGCUCGUACCUACAGUGUAUUCCAAACCCCAAAGACGCACAUGUUGGCAAGGAUGAGACUGAUGAUAAGGAAUCACAUAAAGAAAUGAAACCUUGUGAUGUUUGUAUGGAGGAGCAUCCCUGCCAAAUCUUUGCCCGUACUUGGAGUGUAUUCCAAAUCUCGAGGACACACAUGUUGGCAAGGAUGAGACUAAUGAUGAGAACACAGAUGAAGAUAUGAUACCGCCUUGUGAAGUUUGCUGAAGGAGAAUCCGGAUCACUUUUCAAAUGGUUGCCCAUACCUAAAGCGUGUACCAAAUCCAAAGGACACAGUUGUUGGCAAGGCCUAUAUGAUAGUCUGCAUCCACUGCUUUAGGGAGGAUCAUGGCCACCUUGAUGGAGCCUGACAAGGAUGCGCAAUGCUAGAUCCGAGGUUCUUUUAUGAUCAAGAGCCUGCAGAUGACGAGCCUCCCCUUAAAGAUGAGAGUGAAUACUUUGCUUGGCUUAAGGUGGGUGUUUCUCGUUUCUCUCGUGUCUAAACUAGUGUUUGGUUGGAUGGACAAAAGCUUAGAGUGGCUUGGUGUUUUUAAUCGAUGGAACUUAUGCCUUGUAUAUAUAGUUUUCGAGAAAAUGUUGUUUUGGCUGAAUAAGUUCUCCUGGUUAUAACAGUUAUUGCCAUCUUGCAGCGGAGGAGAACGAACCAUAUGAAGCAAAGGCCAGUCAUAAUAAAACACGCUAGAAAGGAUAAAAUUAGGGGCUACAACAAUAACGUAUCUCAUUAUCAACUGAUGUCUUUAAGUUUAGCAGGAUAACGAAAUGGGAACAAUAUAUUAGCCAACAGACUAAUGAUUUAUAGUGUUCAAUAAAAAUGUUAGAUAAUAGAUAGACAUGUGUAGACAAUUGUCAUGAUAAUAAGCCUCGCUCAAUGCCUUGCUCUAGUGAUCAAAAUCUAGAGGAUCAACCCUCUAACUGGAGUCAAGCUGGAAAAUUUUACCCUCUAACUGGUCUCUCAUUUACUCAUAUGCAUGCUAUAUCAAAAUUUAACCAUCAUCUCACUCCACAUUUUCACUUGUCCAAUGCCCUUUAUUUCCAAACUUGCAACACCAGCAGCUGCAAUAGUAUGCUCAUUAAAACACUUUGAAGUAGCCUCAACUCCUGAAAAGUCAAGAGCUUCCCCAAACCAACCAAGUGAAUCAUCGAUCUUUUACCAUUCAAUCCCAUUUCAAAAAUAGACUUCCCCUAUAUAUACACAUAGAUUUCAAAAACAGGCUUCCCCUAUAUAUACACAUAGAUUACGCAACAGGUACCUUUACCCUUCUUGGGCUGUUGGCCAUGGGCAUCAAGACCUAAAAGAGGCUUCUUCAUCGCAUCAAGCCUCAGGCUCCCAGCCUCAAACACCAGGCUAGGCCAAAAAAUCAUUAUUGCCCCCACGUGUCUGAUUUAUUUACGAAUACGUUCCCGGCCGUUUCCGGCUAUAUCUGCCUAUUUCCGGAUGUUUAUGGCCAUAUCAGCGUGUAAUCGGUGGCCAUAUCAACGUGUAACCGGUACCUUGCAAAUUAGAAAUUUGUCAUCUGAAACGCGCGGAUACGGCCGUAUACUGCCGAAAACGCGUCGAAAACAUCUAAAAACGUGUAAGUAAAUAAAUCAAAAAUAUGGGGGCAAUACUGACUUUUGAUUUCAAAGAAAAAAAAAGCUAGGGGCGGGCGUGGGUUGGUGUGGUGAGGGUUAGGGCUCAACUCUAAUCCAAUCCACUUUAAAUAAUUUGACAAAUCUUCAAUCUAGAUCCACAUUCCGAAAAGGCCAAUCCACAUAUCCGGAUGACCCCCUUUUUGGAUUGGUUUUGGAUUGGAAUUGGAUUGAGCCCACAUUUUAUUUGACCUAAUAACUAGGCCCAAACAUAAAAUAGAUACCAUCAAAAUCUGAACAAACCAAAUUCAAAAUAAAAUAGAUACAAUCAACUCGGCUAUUGUUCGCGUCUUCUGGAGAGAAAUAGGACUGAGAGAGAGAACAAUGGGAGACAGCGGCGAUAAAUGAUUUAGAAACGCUGGCUUCUCUUAGGGUUAAUUGGGAAUAAGAGUUGGGUUUGAGGUGUUAUGGGCUUAGGGUUUAAAACUAUAAAUUUGGCCAUAAGCCAUUUAUAAGUUCAUAUAUCUAUUACAAAUAAUAAACUAAAUUAAUUAAUAAAAUAAAUAAAACCGGUGCGGGUUAGUUUAAAUCAGAUUGAAAUUUUCUCAAUCCUAAUCCAAUCCGCUUUAUGUGGGUUGUUGUUUUCUCAAUCCUAAUACGAUCCGUUACAACCGAUGUGGUUUGAAAAACGGUUUGAACCGAUGCGAUAUGGUGCGAUACCGCACAUCCGGUGUGAAGUGCCCACCCUAAAAAAAACUGUGAAGACUUGGGCUUUAGAAGUGGGUAACGGUUGUGGCCCAAACAGAUUGACUUGACCCGGCGCCAAUUCCUGAAGGUCAUGGCGGAAGAGAGCAAAGAUCAGAUAUGAUAGCCAAUGGCCCAGGAAAUUUGAUUCCUUUCUCUAAAAUCACUGCUUUUAUAUUCUAGGGUUUCUACUUCCCUUUCUUUCUUCUCCAAUUAGAUCUCCAUAACCCACUUUUUCGCAGUCGACUCGCGGCUAUGUCGAAGCCGAGGGGUCACCCUCGGUCGCUCUGGUCAGGUAACUUUCGCUUCUCACAUUCACGGUUCAGAUCAAUUAGAGCUUUUUAUCUGAUAAUAGGAAGCUUUUGUUCUUUCGUUAUAGGUGAUUUUGUAAAUUUCAAUUUAUUUUGUGUUUCCGAUUAUAAUUGAGCUUGAAUUUGUUGCAAUUUAACUACUUUUUGUGUGACGUGGGACUGAAAUAGUUGUUAUGGUUGUGGUCGGAUUGCUGAGAUUGGAUUUUUUUAGGUUGAAUUCGUGGGUGUGGUUUGUGUGUGAAGAUUUGGUUACUUAUUGUGCGAAAGUUUUUGUAGGUUGUGGAAAGGGAGGAACAUCAGACUCUGCACAAAUGCGUGGGGAUAGAGGUCUGGUUUCGGGAGGGAAACGAUCAAUGGGAGACAGGCUUGGGAGUAAUGCUCAUGGCAAGCGGUACUUUGUUCCGUCUCUCUUGAGUUAUAAAUGACACUUAUCUGCUUAGAUUUGAUUAGGAAGUCUUGUGAUGCUUAAAGUUGAGAAUAAUUGUGGUUUUGCUCUAGUUUGGUUAAUAUGGUUUUAAUGGCAUACUGACCACACUACUUGUAUGGUUAAAUCCACCAUCACUGCUGCAUAUCGAUCUUGAAGCUUUUUUCGUUUUCAAAAUGGUAAAAUUAUUAAUGUUAGCGUUACCCAAAAAGGGUUGGGAUUCAGGAGUAGGGUAGUGGACUUUGUUUCCUUAAUCAAUUGCAUACUAUAAAUAACGUAAAGCAAUCUGUAUCGUCUUUUCUUUACUUUGAACAUGUUUUGAAAGUUAAGAAGAGAUAUAUGUUUCUCCACUUUGUAAAAAUCAUCAUUUGCUUCCAAAGGUGGUAACAUGUUUAUUUGAGGAUGCGCCGCUGUUUGCAUUGUUAGGUUAUCUAUAUAUGCAGUAGGUAUGUCAUGAUGUGUUGGAUCUCAAUUUCAGGCAACGAGGAGAUGGAAUAAAAUACAGAGGGGGUGACAAUACAUUACAUGGUAACCAUCUUGUCUGAAUUUUGAUACUACCAACUUUAUGUAUGAUUUAUUAUCUUUUUAUAUGGUUUCCUUGUACUGACUCUUGCUCAUUAAAACAAGUGAAGAUUCACGGAUCAGUCGAAAUGACCUCAGAUUGAAACUGUUGCGCAAAAGAUCAUUUAAGCAAAAUGGGGGAGGUAUUGCAGAACGCAAGCAGAUGGUCCCGCGCCCAUAGCUGUCAAAACCUGCUCAUUCUACAGUGAGGUAUCAGAUGUCACAGCAUGAGUUGGAAACAAAUGGGAGUAGCUUCCUGAGAGAAAUGCCUCCCAGGGAUAGUGGAGCUGAUUUGUACCAUGUAAAUUCACAGAGGAACAAAGAAGAGAUGGAUUCCAAGCUAGAUCCCCUGAUAGCUUUCAGAACACUUCUUACGGGCCAUCACCACAAAGAAACUUUGGUGAGCUGCAGUCAGCAUCAUCAUUCAGGCCAGUUGACGCUCAAAGAGCUGGCCAGUUCCACAGAAAUGGUAUGGUUGGUUCAUCUCAGCCAACAGAUUCCUUUAUUUUCAGAACGAAGUCUAACCCUCAAACUGCCAAACCAGUUGGACAGCUUGUGCCAACAAAUUUACAGCAUGCAAAAUUAUAUGGUACUACUUUCUGGCUGUUGCUCCACUUUAGCUUCCUUUCAAUUAUCACUUUGAUCACUUUAGUAAGUUGUAUAAUAUCGCUCACUCUGCAUUAUAGGGGGAAGAACCUAAGUGUUGCUAGUUUAUUGCAUAGACUUGGUUUGGGAAAAUAUGCUAUAAUCUUCCAGGCUGAAGAAGUAAGUAACCUACUCUAAUCUUAUUUUCACUCCAUACUCAGAUUUUUAGAGGCGUCCGUUUCUUUCACUGGUCUUUUGAUUUUUGAGACAGCAGAAAGAAUAUCAUAUAUUAGAAUGUACAGUUCUGAUGAUUUCAAGGAGCAACGUCAAUAAUCAAUUUGUCUCUCUUUUGGUUUUGGCUUAAUGCUUUGAUUGUCUGAUUUGCAGGUAGACAUGAGCGCUUUGAAGCAGAUGGGCGAUAAGGACCUUAAAGAGCUGGGUAUACCAAUGGUAAUGUUUUAAUGCACCAAUUCGUUAUCUUUGUUCUGAUCUAUAUCUUUCUCCUUGUCUAUAUCAAUAAGCAUGUGAUUUGAAACUUGUGUUAUGUUCUGCUAGCUCAGUUGUGUAGUACCAUCCUUCUUGUGCUUCGCACAGGUAGUUCAUCGAACUAUUCUCACUUAAGGUUGUUUGAUUUGCAGGGGCCAAGGAAAAAGAUUCUCCUUGCACUUCUCGCCUGUGGUAACCGACCACCGCCACCGUAAUUCUCGCUUUGAGUGCUGCAAUGUGUAAACAGCAUAUCUCUUGUUUGUACCUCUCACAUGUUGUAUCAUAAAUAUUGAGUUUAAGGGUGACUUUUGAGUAGGGGUUGUUCAGUGAUUCAUUUCCCUCCACAGGUCUUUGUUGGUUUGAACAUGAUUAGUAUACCAUUUGUUUUACAUAUAGAAGCAGGACAUGUGUAAACGUUUGUAUUUACAUCUAAAUGUUCAACAUGCUAAUCGAUCAUUUUGUAUAUUGACAUGAGUCUAUAGUAGUCUUGUGUGUUUGAACAUACUUGACUCAUGGAAAUUGUAGACUUUAGCAUAGAGAAGAAUUUCUUUUUUUUUUGUAGAAGAAUUUCAAUUAGCAGAACACAAGUACAUAAUUUGAUUGUUUACAAGCAGUGUUAAACUUUGAAUGAGAAAACAAAAACUCAAAACGCCCCAACUGAUGGGGUAAUGGGAGGAGACUUGAACCCCUCUCACUCUUCCCACAAUCUUUCCCAUUCCUUGAAGCAAAGGCAGCCAAGAACGUCCCAUUCCAAGCUCCUUCAUUCGCCGCCACGGCCAAGGCCGCCCUUGCUUGCUUGUUGCAUUCAUGGUCGGCCGGAAACCGGUGGCUGAGGCAGACCUUGAGAUGGCAAGUCUUGCAAGUACUGCUAUUUGAAAAUGUCAGACUCUGCUUGCACCUCUUCACAGGACAUCUAGGCUGCUUCUUUUUGGGGUCGCAAUUCCCGGACUUGCUGUGCCUCUCAAGCAACACCUUCUGGCUCUCCUCCUCGCCGUCGUGGCCAGUGGUCUCUAUGGAGGUGGAGCAUACCUCACAAACUAUCACUUUCCGGCUGUUGUGAUCGGAUUUGGGACAAUCAUGGGACUUGUACGAUCGGUCGAUUAUGGAUUAUGAAACAUUAUAGAACGUUGCAGGUACUUGGUAGGGAGAGUUCUGUAGUAGUAGUAGUAGUUGUAGUACGUGACAGAAACGAAUCUUGAAGUCUUCAAGUGUACCACUCUUCUUCUUUUUCGAUGAGAAGUGUACCAUUCGAUCUUAUUAGUUAUUACCCAGUCAGCUAGUCUUUUCCACCACAAAAAUAGCCGAAUUAGUUGUUAAUCCAUGAGAACCACAAUGCUUGGCCUAUUCUCCCUCUCGAAUUGACCAAGGCUUCCCCCCACACUUCAAAGUCUCUCUGCAAUACCAGAGAAGCACAAAAAAAAUGAAGAAGAUGACCGAAUAUGGGUCGACCCCAUUUCUUUUCUGGUUCUCUUUCUUGUGUUUGCUUCAUUCUCUUCCUGUCUACUCUGCCAAAUCCUCACAUCGUAGAUUCCCAUCUUUACUGAUAUCCCCAGAAGAAAAAAUAUCACUUUCUGCUCGUCAAAACCAACUUUACACAACCAAAUACUUCACCCAAGUCCUUGAUCAUUUCAACUACCCCAAGAGCUACGAAACCUUCCAACAUAGGUAUUUGAUAAAUGAUACGUACUGGGGAGGCGCCAAGAGCAAUUCUCCAAUCUUUGUUUACACUGGUAAUGAAGGUAACAUAGAAUGGUUUGCGGAGAACACUGGUUUUCUGUAUGAGACAGCUCCCCAUUUUAAAGCCCUCAUCAUUUUCAUCGAGGUAAGUUUAAUUUCCGAAUUGGUAGUUUUAACUCUGAACACUUACCGUAUUCCUUGAUUAUGAAAACUUCAUUCUUUAUUGAGAUAUCAAUCUAACAUCGGGAAUGUGAGACCUUACAUGGUUUAUAAGGGUUUGGACCUCUCUACCUAUUGUUAAUAGGUUUUGGAUGUAAACCCCAGACUACUUCAUCUUGGUAUCAGAACGAGUUACCCAUGUCCACGUGUUAGGCUUGAAAAUUAACCACAUGUACGCAGACAUGUUGAGAUAUCAAUCCAAAGAAACCAAUAGAUAGCAUUCCUAAUCGAUGUUAGUUGUGUUCAUCUAGUGAUUAACUAACUAAAGAAUCAUCACUAUUUGUUGUAAAUUUUAUUUUUCUUUUUUGCAGUUUAGUUUGAGUAUUGGUAUUAGGAUGUUCAAUCAAUUUCUUUUUUUUUCUUUUUUUUUUUUCUUUUUGUUUUUUUUUUUUCAAUCAGCUCUUGUAUGAUAAUAUUGCAGCAUCGGUUCUAUGGAAAGUCUUUACCUUUUGGGGGCAAGAAAGAUGUGGCUUAUAGCAAUGCAACUACACUGGGAUAUCUAAGCUCUACACAAGCCUUGGCAGAUUAUGCUUCCUUAAUUAUUGAUUUGAAGAAGAAUUUGACAGCAACUGACUCUCCUGUAGUGGUUCUUGGAGGUUCCCAUGGAGAAAGUAUGUUACAGUAUAUAUAUUUUCAAUAAUAUUUAAUAAAAUAUUAGUUACAUUUUUUUGGAAUGGGAAUAUUAGGUGGCGUUCAGUAACGUUUUCAUGUUUGUAUUUUUAUUUUUGAAAAUAAAAAUGAGAUGAAAACAUUUCUGAAAACGUUGAAAAUGAAAAAUAAAAAUAUUUUCAAAUUUUACAAAAAAAAACUGAAAACAUCAAUGUGAUGUUUUCACUUUAGCAUUUUCUUAGUUUAGGAAUCUAAAAAAUACAUUUCACGAUAAAUUAUUGAUACAUUUCUAAAGUAGAAAAUAAAAUCUCACUUUCUCACAAGCCCUUAGUUACAUAAUUGACCAAAACAUAAUAAUUUUCAUUUGAGAUUUUGUAUUAUAUAUUAGAGGAUCGAGUUUUAGCAUAUUCUCUAUCUCGGCACCUUAAUUACUUUGGAAAAUAUGUUUAGUUUUUUCUCAUGAAAAAUAAUAGUUGUACUAAACUCUUAAGCGACUCUAUUUUAACUUUUAAUUAUGUUGCUCUUUUUUUGUUUAACACACACACCCAUGAUGGGGCUCAGACACAUAUUGCAUGAUUUCUCAAAUGCGAAACCAUUGUUUUAGCUAUGUUGCUCCUAAAUAUAGAGAGCUAGAAGAGGCUCUAACAUUCUUUUUCGUAAGAAAAAUAUGUUUUGGCUAACAAAGUCUAUUUCUUUAUAUGUUCACUUACAAAACAUAUUAAAGUUGUACAAGUUGUGACCUGAUGUAUUUAAAAAAUAUGUAGUAAUUUAAAAUGUUUUGUCAAAAUAUGUAACUAAUAAUAUUUACAACUUUAAGGACUUAUGUUACAACUUUAAUGACUAAUAUUAUUACUUUAAGGACUUAUUUUACAACUUUAGAACAAAAUUGAUGCAUGUCAUGCACUAAUACAUUGUAAAAUUUUCCGUUCAAAUUUUAAACUAUUUUGAAUUGUUUUCUCUUUUAUCACUAUCCUAAAUUGGGUAUGGGUACGGUCCAUUGGGUAUUUAGGGCAUCAAACUCUUUUGAUUUGAUUUAGGGAAAUGAAGUGAAAUCUACACUCUCUAAAUUGUAAUCUACACUCUCACUUUUCAUUUUUUAUAAAUUAAAUUUUUUCAUUAGUGACUUAACUUUUGUCUUCUUAUGAAAAUGAUUACUAAAAAUAAAAAAUGGGAGUGUAGAUUAUAAUUUGAGGAGUGUAGAUUUCACAUCCCUUAAUUUAAUUUGGUUUUUCUCUUUGCAGUGCUAGCAGCAUGGUUUAGGUUGAAAUACCCCCAUGUUACAAUUGGAGCUUUGGCAUCAUCUUCUCCCAUCCUCAAUUUUAAUAACAUAACAUCUCCAGAAAGCUUCAACAAUAUAAUCACUAAGGACUUUAUGGUUCUCUCUCUCUCUCUCUCUCUCUCAUUUCUACUUAAAGACAAAUUAGUGUACAAUUAAAGACAAUACAACACGCAUCCAAAUUGAAUGCUAUAGAAAUUUUUUUGUAUAACACGUCAAUAAGAUAGGUACUAUGUUGUUUUACAAAAACUUUCAUGUACUUUUGAAGAGACUUGUUAAAUUUUUCGUACUUUUGAAGCCAAAUAUGUAUUAGACAUAUAUAUUUUUUUUCUCCCAUGCGAUUCUAACAUUUUGUUUUUCUAUAUUCUACAUGUUAAAAUAUUUAUAUAAAUAAUGUUAAAAAUAAAAAAUAGAAAUAUUUCGCUAGAACUUUAAGAAACUAUUUGAUGACAUGUAUGAAUACUACACGUACAUAUUUUUCGUGCAUUAUAUGCAUCCAAAAUUUUCUGUGGUUCAGAAGUACAUCAUUAAAAAAGGGUUUAGGAGUAGAUAAUUAUGGAAUCCGGAUCCUCUUCUCAUGAGAGGGUCUUUAUAUUUCCUCAUGAAUGAAUCUCAGCCUUUUAUUUUCAACCAAUGACUGAGAUCUUUCUAGUUAAAAUUAAACUCUACUUCACGAGAAAUUUUUUUACGCUCCGGGAAAACCACUUAGUUAUGCCUAAUGGUCAUUCGCUCCUAUAGUAAAUUGCCACGUGGCUAUUUUGACAAGUCACUUGAUUACACUUAAACAAUCAAGUAAACAUCAAAACUGUGGUUAAUGUUGCCGUUAUAUAUCAAUAUGUAAUUAUGUAUUCAUCAUUUCAUCCAUAAUCAAUAGAUCGAAAAGAAAUUUUGCAGCAAUUGGUUUGCUUCAAAUUUGGUUUGCUUCAAAUUAGAAUGGUUUACAACAUUUGCGGGUUAUGCUCUUCAAUCCAAUUGCUAUUCAAUUUGUCAAUAAAAAACGGUGACAAUAAAUCACAAGCUCACACAAGUUUUUAUUUUUGGAUGCAAGGUCAAGAAAUCUCAUUUGGGUUGCGUUCUUCCUUUUGAAAUCUGAAUGGAAACACCACCACCCACUUAUGGGUUUCCAAUAGUAACAGAUGAAAGGACUUUAUUGCUUUGGUUAUAGAACCAAUUGAUUGAGCCGUAAGGAUAGAUGUGAGUUUUGUGUAAUUUGAUUCAUAUAUUCAUGAAUAUAUGUAUAUCAAUUGGGGAUAACUGAUCAUACACAUAUCAAAUCAAUUUCUUGUUUAUUGAUUCAUAUCAAAGAAUAAGAAGUUAUAAAUAUGAGGAAAAGAAAAGAAAGAAGGAUUGCAGUUAUGAGAAUCUAUCAACCCCUAGGCAUCUACAAAGUUUGAGAUUAAUUGUCAUCUGGGUAUCUAUCAACCCUUUAACCUCUGCAGAUCUGGGUUCUAUCAACCCUUAACCUCUACACAUUUGCACCGAUCUGCAAAUUUUUUUUUCUUUUCAGUACUGGAGUUUCAGGUUCGAUCUCCACCUUGGAAUAAUCAGCCCAAGACUGGCCGAAGCGACAACCGGGGACUCGCCGUGGUUGUCCUCGACGCGCUCUCGAGGUUCGUGAAGCUCAGUUUUAGUUUUCAUCAAUUAUCGAGUUUCGGAGAUUGUUUCGAGUUGAAAUUAGGAAAAUGGAGUUGAAGAAUGUUAGUUUUCAUCAAUUGAAUAGUUUAGAGAGAAAGAUUUGAAUUAGGUUUGAUGACUUUGAUCGAGAGGAGCUAUGAGCUUAUUUGAAUUGUAGACGAGUUGCUUUUGUAUGUGUUUUUGUGGAGAUGAGUGUGUUUGCGAGCUCUUUGUUCUAUCAGUUGCUUGGUUUAGGCAAUUGUAAGUAAUGCCUUGAGGUUUCUUGAUGCUAGGCGACAAUGGGUGAGAGAAGAGGAUUUAGCUAAGGACUUGAAACUGCACUCGAAGCAACUCCGUCGUACAUUGCGGUUUUUUGAGGAGGAGAAACUGGUCACCCGGGACCAUAGGAAGGAGGUGAUUAUGUUGAACUUCNNNNNNNNNNNNNNNNNNNNGAAAUGCAAGUUGACUUAAUUAUUGAAUAUAUAAGAUCUUGAUAAAGUUUUUGGCUUCUAUAUUUUUAGAAAAGGCCUUACACAAGAAUANGUUUCAGAUAUAUGAUGUAGUAAGGUACAGACUGCACUGUAUGAGGAAAAAACUGAAAGAUGAAUUGGAGGACAAGAGCACAGUUCAGGAAUAUGUAUGCCCCAACUGUGGGAAAAGGUUUUUGCUGAUAGGUUCAUUUUGUUCAAUCUAUUGCAGCAGGGACAAAUUUGCAGAUUUUUUAUUAGUAGCUAUGAGCCUAUGUCUUGCAGAUUUUGUAUAUUUUGUAUAGUGGCUAUGAGCCUAUGACAACAUUUUGUAUAGUGGCUAUGAGCAUAUGACAAAUAUUUUGUUCAAUCUAGUGCAACAGGGGAAAAAUGGUAAAUUUGAGAUGGUAGUGUAAUUUUCAGAUGAAAUGAAACUGCAUUCUGUGUUUUUGCUCCAUCUCUAUUCAGUUUUAAAUUACUUGCAUUACUUGCAAUGUUUGUUGGUUUCAGUUCUCUCAUAAAUUCAAAGCUAUGAAAUCAAAAUGCAGCACAAACAUUCAUACUGUGAAAGGUUUCUUCAUUGAAAAUUUAAAAUGAUACGUAAUAUUUGAUCAAAAACACUAGUAAAUUGGUCUAUGAGUCUAUCUGACAUCUUCUUCCAUGAACUAAUCCGCACCAUUCAUUGAUUAUAAUGAAAGGUGAUGAUUCUAGUUAAGUACUUCUCUUGCAAGUCUUCCAAGUUCCAACACUGAAAGAGAGUUCACUAAGUUCAGAGGUGAUCAAUAUUGCUAUGCACCAAACUAAGUUCAAUAAGGUCAUCCGGUUGAAAAGCUGGUGGGAGAGAUUUUGACAGAUACCAACUCCAAUCUGCCUCUUCUAAUUCAGCCAAGCGUAACAAUAUGCCUUAAAUGCUUUUCAGCCUAACAAUAGAAUAUAGUAAAUCUUAUCAACUUCAAUCCAAAUCAUAAAACCAGAGUGAAAAUCAACUUUCAAUCUUUACACACCUGAAGAAAAUAGCGCCCAUCUGUCCAAAGAGCGGCUUUAUCUUUGGUGACAACAGCAGUGCCCUGCACUCCCAGUGAAACCUGAUAUAAAUAUCCUCCUCAUGUAACAUUUAGCAAUGAACUCGCUCUGAAAUCCAUAACAAAUGAGAUCCAAUGAGUAGCCAAUGCAAUCAAAUGAGCUCCAAAGGGAAUAAACACAAGACAGCAGCCAAUGCAAUCAAACUACACAAAUGAACUCCAAUGAGCUAUUAUUUCACAAUCUCAUUACCGAAAAACAGUAAAACCUGGCUGAUUUAAUCCUCAACAGUCAGUAGCACAUCAUAACUCUCAAACUUAGAAUCUCAAUCACAAAGUAAAACCAAAGCUCCUAGUUUUCAAAACAACGCCACAAAGACUAAAACUACACAAAUCACAAGCAUUUCACACCAAGCUAUAAAUGAAUCCAAAUUUCCAACAGCAAAUAAAUCGAAACAAAGCUCGAAACUUUCUGAGGCUAAAAGCUCAAAAACAAACAAAAUCAAAACACAAACUCUCAUAAUAUCAAAACGACGUAGUUUUAAACCUGGUGAGAGAGGGGAUGACGUAAGCGUCGAUGUCGACGCAGGGGAAGAGGUUCCGGAGAGCUUGGAGCUUGGCGUCAGAGGAGUCGGAAGCGGAGGCACGGCACUUGGGGCAGAGGUCCGAGGAGGGCUUGGCGGAGAUGGAGGUGCAGCUGCGGAUGGAGAAAGUGGGGGGGCUUUUGGGAAAUAGAGAGCAGCAACGGCGGAGGGAAGCAUAGCGAGCAACGGAGGCAGAGAGAGAGUGAGUGACGACGGCAAAGAGAGCUCGCGACGGCGGAGGGAGGCAGAGCUCGCGACGGGUUAGAGAGAGAGUGCGGGGGCGACGACGGCAGAGAGAGAGAGGGCUGUGGUUCGAUAUUUUGAGGAGAAGAGGGAGCGGUAAAUUGGGUAGAUGUGAAAUAUGGUUUAAUUUUAACUAGAAAGAUCUCAGCCAUUGGUUGAAAAUAAAAGGCUGAGAUUCAUUCAUGAGGAAAUAUCAUGAGGAGAGGAUCCGGAUUUAUAAUUAUGAGGGUAGUUAAGCAUCCUCAAACCAUGUAGUGGUAAUAUUUACUGAAUAAUAAUGUUUGUUGUUGCAUAUUAUGGGUCAAGUAGAGUGAGAGUGAAAGUUGUUACAAAGUGAUCAAAGGCUCAUGGCAACAGAUCAAAGACACCGCAAAACAACAUGGAGGGCUUGAGCUACUCCAGAAAUCGUUUAAAUUAUGCAAGUAUGAUCACGAUUCAUUUAGUGUUUAUGUCUAAAAAUUUUCAGUUUUGGAAAUAUUUAUUGGGAAUACUUUCAUUUAAAAUAUUUUUUUACAUUCAUUACAUGAAUAUUAUCAGCGUAGAUGAUCUUCAGAAUUGGCUUGAAUCCGCUUUUAUAUACACAGCAAUGACUGAUUAUCCUACUCCCUCAAAUUUCAUGACUCCUGUGCCAGCAUAUCCAGUUAAACAGGUUUAAGAAAAACACAAAUAGAAAAUUUCAUAUGUCAUCUUUCUAUUUUUAUCAUUUUUAAUAUAAAUGAUAAAAAUGUAAUUCUUUUAGUGGUGCAGAUGUGUAAGGCAAUAGAUAAUCCAGCAACAGGAAAUGAUACAUUUGCAAAGUUAUAUGGUGCAGUUACCGUCUACUAUAAUUACAGUGGCACAACUACGUGUUUCGAUCCUGAUGAUAACUCAGAUCCUCACGACCUCGGAGGAUGGGAUUGGCAGGUAUAGAAUUCUUAUUGCCUUCCUAAAUUAUUGAUUUUAUUUUACCAAAAUAAACCAAGUGAAAUGACCAUGUUUAGGUUGUUUUUAGGUCCCCUUUGGUUCGUUAAAGUAAGUAUCACGAAAUGAAAGUUUUUCUAUUCUUGUUUUUGGAACAACAAAAUAAAAGGAGAAAAUGUGACAAGUACUUUUUGGUCUAAUGACAUUAGUCUUCCCUCUAUAAAUGGGAGGUCGUGAGUCUCUCAUAAUAGACUCGUUGUAGCAUUUCAGUUAUUUUUUUCUAUCCAAAAAAAUUAAAAGAAAAUGUUUUCCUGACAUAAUAGAAAAUAAAAGAAAAAGCAGUUCCUUCCAUAAUGAAAACAUCAAACGUAACAGGAUUAUGUAUCCUCAUGUAGAUUUCCAAAAAUAUUUACUUUGGUGGUAGUUAUCUGUCACAAAUGGUAUUUAUCUAUGACCAACGAAUAACAUUGAUGUGUAAAAGGUGACAGGCUACUAACCAGUAGAUCUUAUUCAGAGUGGGGCUCCACUUUAAAAUUAAAGUGUGUGACUCUUUAUUUGGUACGUACACUUUCAGGUCAUAUCUCUACCUUUCAGUGUCUAACACAUAGUGUGUAUAUCAUUUCUGUAAAAUUUCAUCCAAUUUGGUGAUCAUUUGAGUACCGAAUUAGAUUAAAAAAAUCAACAGAACAAAAUCUGUCCAGAUAGAACCGUUCAUGUAAAUCACGAUUACGGAAGCUCAAAUGAUAAAAUUAGAUGAAACUUUGCAAAAAUGAUUUACUUCUAUAUACUAAAAUGUGAAGAUGUGAAAGUUUGACAUGAAAGUGUGUCAAAUAAGAAGUCACACAUUUUAAUUUCUAAGCGGAGGGUCUGAUGUGUACAUGGCGAUAUGCUACUAACAAAGUAACUAGUGUAAUAUGAUCGCACGCAUACCUUCUUAUAAAGAGCGUUGCCGAGGAGGGGGAUGGAGCUGUGCCUUUCUCAUGAAUCAGGCUAUUUAUAUAGAUGAUAGAUGAUAGUUAAUUUGGCAAAGGAAAUGUUAAUUUGAUAGAUGAUGAUGGAUUAUUAUACAUAGUACUUGGUCUUCAUUUUGACUUAUAAAUAUUUGCAGGCAUGUACAGAGAUGAUAAUGCAAACAAAUGGCAACGAUAAGGAGAGCAUAUUCCCACCUUCUGAGUCGCAAUACAAAGAUCAAGUCUCUUAUUGCAAAGAGGCUUAUGGCGUUGAACCUAGGCCUAAUUGGAUCACCACUGAGUUUGGGGGCCAUGUGAGUUUUCCAUUAUUAAUCCCAACUUCGUAUCAAUUAAUUAGUACACCCUUUUGGUUUGUUAGAUUUUUUCUUUCUUGAGAUCGAUGAGAAUUAUUCUUAUAUGUGAGACAUUUAUUGUGAGAGAGACAUUAUAAAAUUGCAACACGACUACAUGCACAUUUUGAAACUUUCUAAAAAUCACAAAAUAUUGUGAUUAACUCAAAGAAUAAUUGCCAUGUUUUAUCAAUAGCGUAUAGUAUAGCACGUACGUAGACUAUAUACUUAUCCUUUUUUUUUCUUUUGACAAAAUGAAAAUUUUAUUAAUAAUCGAAUGCUAAAAUAACAAGAUACAGUAACAACAAAUGUCAUAUAGUAUCAUUAUAUUAGACAAAUAGCUCACUUAUUGUGAGCCUAGUAGAGUACAAAAAACUAGACAAAAAAAGAUACUAAGGAAACCUGUUGUUGGAGCCAAGACGCUCAAUUACGAUACUCCAAGCAACAUACAACCAUCUAGGUGUAGCUAAUCUCUUUCCAAUUUACCUGCUCACGCACCAACAUAGAAGCGACACUAUAUUUUAAUAUUGCUUUUCAAAUCAGGGCUUCGGGGAGUGCCAGAGAAGAGCACACUUAUCAUUUUAUCACUAGUAAUCUUGAAUUUUUGUGAUGAUGUCAAAUCAUCUUUCAGUACUAUUUCAAAUGAUUCAACAGUGUACUUCCAGAAUCAAACCAAAACAUAGUGUCAUCUAGAUCCCAAAUAUGAAACCUAAAAAAGCUAGAAUUUAUUAGAUUUGCCCACAACCGAGCCCACGCACAAAUAUUGUGGAAAUUGGAGGUAACUUCGGUUGCAAGGCUCAAUUAAUGUUGAAUGUAUUGAAAUUGGCAGGACAUCAAGAGAGUUUUAAGGAGAUAUGGGAGCAACAUUAUCUUCUUUAAUGGGUUAAGAGACCCUUGGAGUGGUGGAGGGUAAUGAUCAAUUUAUUUCCCAGUUAAUUUUAUCCACCUAAAUCUCUUAACUUAAUUGUAUUUCUUAUUUUCUCACCCGUAUCAAUUCCUUUUGGUGUUUAUCAUUUCAGGGUGUUGAGCAACAUUUCCAAGAGGAUAGUAGCAAUUGUUGCAAAAGAAGGUUUAUAGCUAGUCAUCACUUCCAAAUCAAUCCACUUACAUAUAGGUACAAGAAAGCAAUUUGAUGAGAAUGCAUACUAAACAGCUUGUGGUGCUGAUACGUACUUAAUGAACAGGUGCUCACCAUGUUGACUUGAGGUUCAAAACUAAUGAAGAUCCAGAAUGGCUUAAAGAUGUCAGGAAGCAAGAGGUCAAGAUCAUUGCAAAGUGGAUCUCAGAAUAUUAUCAUGACCUUGCUGAUAAACAUUAGUUUUCAUUUUCCUUGAGGAUAUUGAGGCUGCAUAAGCCUAAAAAGGGAGCAUUGAUGAGCAUGAUUACGUGAAUCCUCUUAGAAUACAUCCCGAAUAACAACAUAACAGUCAUCUAACCAAGGUGAGCUAACCUAAUGCUACACCAUUUGCUUCCAAGAAUAUAAUGCUUAAUUUGAAUAGAUUGUUAAAAUGAUGAAUAUGAAUUUGAUUUGAUUUUUCAUUUUGUUGUCGUGACUCUUUUACUUCUUGUCUCGUUUCUUUUCAUUGUAUUAGUUCCAUUGUUAAAAGGAAAAAUUCUCCAGCUUUUUCAAAUCAAAAUCUUGUUAAUCAAUAAACGAAAUGAAAUUGAACAAACUUGUGUGAGAGGCUUGCCACCGCAAUGUCUUAAGACAUAAUUUCACCCUUACAACUGUGUAAUAAUGCUUGAUUGCAGACGUAUGUCCUGUCCUGCAGGCAGGGUUUAGAAUUUAUGUAGGCAGGGAUGGAGCCAAGAUUGAAGGUAUAGGGGGCAAUAUGUAAACACGAAAACAACGUCACAAUUUCGAAUCAAUAACAACAUUAUGUUUGUAGUAUAUAUGCAUGUUGUACGUAAAAAUUCAUUAAAAAUUAUGUAUAUGACUGUAUUAAGAUUAAAUGUUUGUAGUUUUAAUAUUUAAUAAAUGAGAUAGAGUAAAGAAAAUAAAAAUACACAAAAGCUAGAAUUGAUUAACUUCUGACGUGUCAUGGUUAGAAAAUUAUAUAAUUUAAAAUCAAAAUAGCUAUAACUAGAGCUAAACCCUUCAUUUGGUGUCAAGGGGACCAAACCUUUAUAAUUAUAGAGCUAUAAUCUUUUUUAUCUCAGAGGAAAAUUUUCAAAUGGUACCCCAAGUUAAGCUCAUUCAUCAUUUUGACAUCUCAAUUUUGAAAACUAUGAUAAUGGUAUCUCAACACUUAAACUUAAUCGAACAUUAGUUCUCUCCGUGAUUGACACCGUUAAGUUGGACAUUAUUUAUAGGCAAAAUUGUCUUUUCAUGUUUUCCCUUCCCAAAUCUUUUCCCUCCACAAACAAUCCCUUCCAGAAUAAGUCCAUUUUUCCAUCAGUAUCAGAAUUUGUGGUGAGCCAUAUGUUGGCUGCAUAUAAAAAUUAGAGACAUUUAGAAAUUAUAAUACACCAUUGGCCAUUAAUAUCCAUCAUUAAAAGUAGCUUUUGCAACCCACCGGUAAGAGAAAGAAUCAACAUUGAUUAAAAUACAUUUGUAUCAAGUACAGAAGUUCAUGAAACAUAUAUAAUUAAUAGAACAAUCAAAGAUAACUAGGUAAUAGGACUCACAUUCAUAGUUGAUAUCUUCAGGUCGAUAAACUCUAACUCAACUGAUAAAGUUUGUGGAGGGAAAACAUGAAGACACAAUUUUGUCCAUGGACAAAGUCCAACUUAGAUGUUGGGUUUAAGUGUUGAGGUAUUAUUAUCAUAGUUUUCAAAAUUGAGAUGUCAAAAUGAUAAAUGGACUAAACUUGGGACACCAUUUGGAAAAAUUUUCUCUUUAUCUUAUUGACAACACAAUAAACUAACAUGCAUGUUUUGAGAAAAUGUGAGGGUGCCACUAAGGUUUAGGGUAGCUCCGUUAAUGCCUGCAAGAUACAACUUUGGAUCCAGAGAAAUACUUCGGUGCGACAGCCGUGCCACGUGUCUGUGAGACCGGCCGAUCGUCGUGUGACACGUGUUUUUUUUUUUUUUCACAGCAGCCCGCAGCAGCCGCUGCGUUCUCCUCCGGCGAAGCUUCUUAUGUUUUUUCUUCACCCUCGCCGGCUGAAAUUCUCCUCCGCUGCUCUCCCUCAUUUCCAGCCCCAAAUUCUACGACCGCCACACCCUCCGAAACCCCACCCCUCCUCUCUCCGCCUUCUUCUUCCUCUCCACCUCUCUAGAUCCCUCUCCUCUCCCCUCCAUUCGCUCCCGGAGCUCCGACGAGCCAAGAUUCUCCAGAGAAAGACAGAAGAAGCUUCGCCGAAGGAGAACACAACGGCUGCUGCGGGCUGCUGUGAAAAAAAAAAAACACGUGUUGCAUGACCGUCGGACGGUUACACGGACACGUGGCACGGCCGUCGCACCGAAGAAUUUCUCUUGGAUCCAAGGCGUUUGCACAGAUUUCUUGAAAGCUAGGCACCCCUCGACACUACGGUUUAGGGUAGCUCCGCCAAUGCCUGUAAGAUAGAACUUUCGUUCCAAGGCGUUUGCACAGAUGACUUGAAUCCUAGAAGCCCAAAACCAUCUGAGAAGCCCAAAGGUAAUGCUUGUAGCUAGCCACAGUAGUAGUCUUUUUUGGUCAUACACAGUAGUAGUCAACAAAGGCACCAACUCAUUGUCCUAAAAGGACAGGGAGGAUUAAUAAAACCUCAAGGAGAGGUUGUUGGACUUGCAAAAUUUUGACCUAAAACCAAAUUGUAUAUAUAGUUUGGAUUUUUGGGUGGGGGUCUAGCUAUAUGCAAUGCUCCAUCGCUUAUUCGGUAUUAACUUUAAACCAUCCAAAGAAAGGAGGAAACCGGUAAACUCCACCGUUAACUACAAAUUGAUGUUUAAUCGAAAAAAAAACACUACAAAUUGAUGUCGAUCAUAUAUGUGGGAUAGAGCAAUGAAAAACGCCAUUAUACAAGGAAAUAGCCAAAUGAGCACGCAAUGUUAUGAAAUAGCCAACAACCAAGUUUUGACACUAUAUUAGCUGCAUCACCUGCGUGCAUACCUAACUAGAAUCUGGGAUGUUAUUAGUAAGUUUAUACAAACCAUAUGUUGGAACACGUACAUUUGGAGCUAGGCAGUUGGAUUAUCACUUAUGAUCGAAGCUAGUGAUCGAUACAGAUAAGAUUUAUAGACUACGCGGUCCCGUUUUGCUUAUACUUUCUUCAAAGUUAGGCAAGGAUUCCAGUAAAAGGUCGGUUCAUUAUUGUUCAAAAGUUUUGGCCAACUGGUUUCCAUCUAAAACACUUUGAAAGUGAAUAAUGUGAUAUGGAAGUCAUAGAUAUAUUUGGAAGCAUAUCAUUGUAUAUGUUGACAACUCGUCAGGUAUAUAUAUUCAAGUCAUAGUAUGAGACUAAUUGUCAUUUGAAUUGAUUAGCGAAAAUGUUAACGUCUCAAUCUCUCAACUGUCAAAGACUUUGGACAACACAAAGCUACAAUCCAGGUGCUUGUGUUAGAUCAACUUGGAUUGAUCAGUACUUUAGGAAUGAGAUAGUGAGCAAUGCAGUUUAAUUAAUUCACACAUUCAACACAUUUUGCAUGUACCUUUUAGCAAUCGAUUUCCGACUUUCCGUCAUUUGUCUCAGUCUUACACAAGCAGGAUUUGAAGUCCUCAUGGACCCUCCAGGAUUUAUAGGGUUUAAGACAAUUUUGCUAACUUCUCCCAUCAUUUUUUGACAAUUUUUCUCGUCUCAUAUAUUUAAAGUUUGUAAUCUCCUUCCGCUAAGCCAUAUAUAAUUAAAAUGCAACAAAAGAAAUACAUGCAUACAGUGAGUUUUGGGGUUGUGUGGUUUAAUAUACUGACUUAUAUAUCUCAGUAUUACCAUUUGGUCUAACGGCAUAGUCUUCCCUUAAUAAGUGAGAGAUUGUGAGUUCGACUCACGAAAUUAUAAUAUUUAAAUUGUUUAUCUAUUAAAAAAAUAUAUAUACUGACUUAUAUAUAUGCAAUGUGUAGAGUGAAUUUUGGGCUCGUAGCAGUAAAAUGUUUGUGGAUACAACUCGUACGUAAACUUAGAUACACGUACACUUGAAUAUUCACUUGGCACUGUGGUAUUUCCUUUCCUUUAUUUUUUUUCAAAAAGUAGAUGGAGUAGUAUUAUAUCUCUCUUUACAGUGAAUAAGAGAUAGAUACAUGGACAAGCUAUCUAUCUAGCUCUACACAUUAAAGUUGAAAUGUACAUAUUGUAACGCAUGCUACUGCUGCCUUGCAAAGUUUGCAAUGCAACUUCUUCCAAAGGCAAGUUGACAGAGCCUCUUUCAUUACCCACGUCUAUCUUCCAUAAUUGCUUGGCCAAUAUAGGGUUCAUAUAUAUUUCAUCUAUCUUCUUCUUUUCUUUCGCAUUAAUUCACAUAUCAACAGUACCACUCUACAGUAUAUUACGCAGCUCCUCUGCAAAACCCUUCAAUCGAUCUGUUUCAUGGUCCACAACAGGGUCGAUCGCCAUGCUAGCUAGCUUUCUGAUUCAAGUAUUUUUCACUCCUCCUUUUUCACAUAGAUGAAAAGGGAGAUAGAAAGGAAAGCAUGGCAGGCAGAUUAUGCAGCAACACCAACCAACUGUACUCAAACAAGUAUUAGACAAUUGGAGAUUGAUAAAACUGUGACUUUGGUGAUUGAUCUUGUGAGCCCUACCAUCUUAUAGAUCGAGAUUCGUAUGCCCUCGCAUGCCUUGUGAUCUGAUCGAUCAUCUUAGCUAGCUAGUAUUAUAUAAGUGAAGGAGUACUGAUCUGGAGGUUAUGACCCUUAAAGGACAGGCCAAUCCAGACAACCAGGGAUUCGGGAGACGUGGCUUCCUCCAUUUAGUUCUACAUGCUUCAAUUCUUUAUUCUUCUCUCCCAAACACCCCCCCUGUGGUUCUGAAUAAAUCAAUCAUACAUUACAUCUGUAAUUCUACAUAAUAUGAUGCCUUGGGAAAUUGCUAGCUAGCACUACACAACACUAUUGUCUAUGGUUUCACAUCAUAGCUCUUUUUAAUGUCUUCUUGGCUAGUUUGUGCUUGGUAGUUGGCUAAUGAAUAAUGAGACACUAAUGUGGUGUUAUUAUAUGAUAUGCCAGAUAUGAUUUUGUGCUUGUUACAGUCAAUUCUGUAUAUAUAUUUAGUAAAGAGUAGCUAUCAGUAGUGGAGCUUAAAAGCUUCAUAUUAAGGAGCUGCAGGCUAACUAAUUAAUCAAAUACGUUUCUUGGGCAAAUUCAAUUGUUGUCUGAUAUGUCACACCUUUCGCGCGCUGACUUCUCAUACCCUCCACCAGAUAUGUUAAUCAACUGAUGAACUAAUCUAAUCUAUUAGUUCAUCUAAUAUAUUUGUUUCACUAAUUGAACAAGCCUUGGCUUAUAGAAUAUAGAGAUAAAGCUCGUCAUCACUUUGUUCUAGCUUUGUGAGCUUAUACAUAGAUCCAUCUCUAUCAUUCUGAUUUUUAUUGUUUGGCUCAAGCCUAAAGAUCGAGAUUGUAGAAAAAGAAAAGGUUAACUGGAGACUUUGAAUUAGCUAGCUAAGCUAGGGUUUGUUGAAUACAGAAGCCAAUAUAUCUUUUCCAUUAUAGCUCUAAGUGUGUUGCAUAUCCACUCCCUCAUUAUCCCUACAUAGAUCAAAUAAAAGCUCAAUUCAAUCUCCUAGCUAGCCUGGAAGUAAUUAUCUAUAGGAGGGUUGAAAAAGAAAUUAAGUCGGUGAAGCAGUCUAAGAAAUCGGCUGCAGAUGUUACUUGCAGGUAUGGGACUGGUAUCAUAGUGUGUGUGGUCCAAUAUUUACACAUUAUAACACAUGAAAUCCUCAUGUGAGGACCAAGCUAGGUCCCCACUUUACACAGCUGAAAACAAAGAAAGAACAACAACAACAACAAAAACAUCCCUCAUAUCUUCAAGUUUCAAUUAUCACUAUAUAAUAACUCAUAUAUCCUUAACUAAUUAUCUUACAUCUUCCUCAAAAAUGAUCACCAGCCUUUCAUCCCCGGCCCUUUUCUGUAUUGGGAUUCAAAUUAUUCUAGUUAUGUUAACAUGGAGAAGCUAGGUUAUUUUAAAAUUACCUGGUAGUUAAUUAGAUCCCAGAUACUGUGGUUAUAUAUGUUUGUAGAAUGUGUUAAUUAAUUAAAUUAAAUCCUUAAUUCAUUAUUAGGCGGGAGUCAAAGAAUAUGAAAUAUAACUCUGCUACCAUUUGUUACUAUAUAUUGCCUGUGUAUUGGGAUUCAAAUUAAUUAUUCUAUUGCAGAUGCUUAACCCAAGCAUAUAUAUGCUAAUUAGCUAGACACACAAGUUAUUUCCCAAAAUACGUACGUACGCGGUAGGUAGAUCCCAGAUAGAGUGAUGAACUAUAAUUGUAUAUAAAAGGGUCGCAAAUUUACAUGAGAAGAUGCUAAAAUUGAUUAAUUUAUGGAUAAGAAAAAAAACAUGUUGUAUUAGGACCCCAAUUAAGAAUGAUCUGAAUCAAAUAGCUGCCAUGUCCAUUGAAUUAGCAAUAAUCUAAUUAUGCAGUUUAUUUAUGCAGAUGCGUAUCAAACAUUAGAUUAUGAUACAAUGUUUGUGGUCUUCUAAGUUUAGGUACAUAUAUAUACAUGUCCUGCCAGUUUGGACACUUUCUACUUCCUACAAUGAACUGAUAAAUAUAUAUAUAUAUAUAUAUAUAUAUAUAUAUAUUUGCGACUAGCUAUAUUUAUAUAUCUGGUAUGAGGGUAUCUGAUAUCUGAAGCAGAAGCUGUGUUAAAAUAACCACAAACCAACCAAAAUAGAUCAGCUAGUUUUACAUUUUUCCAGAAACCCGGCCAGGUUGUAAACCUGACAAAUAUCUCUCAUAAUUUCUUCUUGCUGAGGGAAACCCCUAAAGAAAACAAAGAAGAUAUUGAAUGCUAAAAAGAGAGGUAUGGAUUUUAGUGUUGAGAGUUAGGUCUCUCACGGAUUGGCCUUACAAAAACCAGCAGGAGGAGGGUGGUGCGUGGUUUUUACUUGGGAAUUGAAGUUUUUUCAACCAGAAAUAGAAACAAUAAUUUCUUAAGUUUCCUUAUAUAUCUCAUUUAUAUAGGCCCCGUCUUGUUCCCUGGUUCUUCGAUCUCUAAGUCUCUGAAGAAGAUAAAGUAUUUAUUUACGAAUUGGAGAUUUUGCAUAAGAGUUUUGCAUUAUGUAUAUGGCAGAGAUUAGGCCACUGUGUCAAUAUGCAUGGUUUUCUUUGUGGUCAAGGAUUCCUGCACCUGGCCAAACAACAUCUUUCUAUCGCAAACCCCUAGCUUCCUUAUAAACAAAGGAAUAUAUAUAUAUUUCAGGUUUCGGCGUCCCACUUGACCAUUUCUUUUUUCUUCUUCGAUCUCCAAAUGAUGUAAUCUCUAUGUCUUUUACAAAUAUUCCAAUGGGUUAAGAUAUUUUUCAUCUUUGGGGUGCAACUUUGAUCUAAUAUUACGUGCCUUACAAAUAUCUGAAUAGAAAAGUCGUGGUUAGUUAUGUUCUUUAAUUGUUAUCUCAAUCAGUUGAACAUAUGUGCACUACGUCUAGCCCCUUUAGUAAAGCUAAUUAAGGAGAGGUGCUUGGCCAUUACAUCGUCUAAGCUCAUCACUAUGUUUUAUAUCAAGCUGAUUCUAGCUUGGUAAAUAGUUGUCAUUAUAUCAAAAUCAAACAAAGGUAGAUGCUCUAGACCUGUUUUGACGUCAAUAUUGAAAGACCAAACGUAAGUGAGUCGAUUUUGAAGUCAACUAAGCCAAUAAACCGCACCCUAACUCUAGGAUUUGUCUGUGGUGCAGAUAUGUAUGACAUACAUACAACUAAAAAAAAUGUACAACAGAGGGUGGUGGGUUUUGGAAUAUAUGCCUGGAAAGGAAGAUUUGCAUGCUAUGCAUAUCUGCAUAGCCGAAUUUUCACCCUAACCAUAGCUGGAUAGGAUUUUUGGACUAAAGUUAUCCGUUUUUGCUUCAGUUAAACUGAAAUUUUUUACUAAUCAAAAUCUAGUUCUACAUAUGAAAAAUGUCUGGACGAAAAUUUGGACCGCGUGGAUUGAAACAAUAACUUAUUGUCCAAUCAAAAUAUAUGAUUGGAGACGAUCGACGAGUUGCAUGGUACCACAUUAUGAUAAAUUGUUGUUGGUAUUAGAGAAUGAAGAUAACACAAGAGCAGGCCAACAACCUAUUUAUUAUGUGUUUCCCACAUGUACGUACUACUCGAAACCAUGCCAAAGUUAAAACCAACUAAUAAUAUGAGAAAGAGAAAAAAAAAAAAGGGCUGUCUGAAUCUACCUGGAAAUUGAGGUGGGUUUUGUCUGAGACUUGGAGCAAAAGACACGAUCCAACUAUAUAUAAAAGAUAACACGGCAGCAGGAGAUCGAGCUAGCUGAUAGAAUAUGCAAUAAUAAAACGAAAUUGCUUGAAAGACACCUAGAGAGACAGAGUCCCCAGACCCCAGUUUAUAUAAGUGUUUUUGUGAAUUGAUUAGAGACGGAAUGUGAGGAAAAGAUUGAAACACGACUGGUACUGUACAGAAAGAGGGGCGUCUUCUUCUUCUUCUUUCUUCUUAGCUCUUCUUUAACUCUAUCUCCAAUUGGAGUUGGACAAAUCUUAUCCCAUGCCAUGCUCUCUCACUCUGCUUAUUGGAAAAGGAAGGGAUCUCUGGAUUUUUCUACACCACCUUCCUCCAAUUAAUCCCCACCUUUAAAACCAGGAAUGGCCAAACACCAAUAAUUCUGUCAUGCACGUGAUCAAAUUACUAUUUCAUCUCUCCCAGAUCAUAAUCAAAUUUGAAAUGACUAUUUACUCGAAUCACAUUACGUUUGCACAUUAACAAUCAAAAUGAAUAGUCUGAGAACUCUAGGAAUCUCUGAUGAUUGACUCCAAAAUCUCAAUUGUUUCCCAAGUAAUAGAGGAUUAGCCAUGUAACAUUCUUCGGCUUAAGAAAGACUCUUCCUGUGUUCCUCAAUCACUAAAGAGUAAAGAGAGGGGUCAUGCGCCAGGAGAGCCCCAUCCCGCCUCUACAUUUCACUGUAUCAGAGAAUGUCACCAAAUUAAUAUGAAGUGAAAUGAAAGCAAACAGUCACGGAUUCUCCCCAAAAGAAAAAAGAUGAAACCAACAAACUUCCAUGAGGAACUUAAGAAUGAAGAAACGACCACUAAUAGUCACAAUUACAAAACUGUUCCAACUCGUACGCUAAUCUAACACCAAAAUUGAUUUCACUGUAAUAUCAUUAUCAUUACCAUUAUAGGUUGUCAUGUUGUAUGCCCACUUAUGUUAUUCCCCUGUGGCAGCUUUGUCCAUAAACAGUUAAUUUUGUUUUAGAUCAUGUGAUAUGUACAUUCCAGGUUAUUAUGAUAUGUAUUGGCUUAAAUCAUGUGAUGUACACAAGAGGAGAAAAUUAAGAUAAAGCUCAAUGUAUAUCCGUACGUACGUAGUGAUUAGUCGUAGGCUUAAAUCAUGUAAUGUACAUAAGAGGAGAAUGUUUGUUUUUAAUUUUUUUUUUGUUCAAAAUCAUAUGGUUUCUUCAAAGACCUUUUAGGUUAAGCGUGCCGCGAGAUCUUGUUAGAACUCUUCCUUCUCCUUAGAGAUUUAACUCCGAUCAUCAUUGGUGGGAUUCGAACUUGAGCUCGGGGAUUCCAUUAAUUUUAAGCUCUUACACACUCGACCACCUUUGGUGGUUAAUAGAAGAAUGUUAAGAUAAAAUCAAUAAUGAUGAGUUGCAGUACAUUAAUAAAUAUAAGUGAAGCUUCGCUCUGGAUAAGAACUAUAUAUAUAUAUAUAUAU
rnacentral:lncRNA from 1 species